UUACUAAAUAGAACUUUUCUAUAGACAAAAUUACCAACCGAUUGCUAAUGUAUAUUUAAAAAUAUACUAUCGGAUUUACCAACCAAAUUGGUAUCCAUUAGUAUAGUUGCUAACAUAAUACUAAUGGAAUUUUUCUUGUUACUAUAUUUACCAACCAAUUACAAACACAAUUUAAAUAAUCAAAAAUCAAUUUUACUAACUCAAUU
rnacentral:lncRNA from 1 species